rnacentral:ncRNA from 1 species
UAAUACAUGCGAGAAGCGCCGACCUCGCGGGAGGCGUGCAUUUAUCAGACCAAAAACCGGCCGCGUCUUCGGGCGCGUUCGCCUUGGUGACUCUGGAUAACUUUGCGGAUCGCACGGUCUAGCACCGGCGACGGAUCAUUCAAGUGUCUGCCCUAUCAACUUUCGUCGGUACGGUAUUUGCCUACCGAGGUUCUUACGGGUGACGGGGAAUCAGGGUUCGAUUCCGGAGAGGGAGCCUGAGAAACGGCUACCACAUCCAAGGAAGGCAGCAGGCGCGCAAAUUACCCAUUCCCGACGCGGGGAGGUAGUGACGAAAAAUAACAAUGCAGGACUCGUUCGAGGCCCUGUAAUUGGAAUGAGUACACUUUAAAAGCUUUAACGAGUAUCCAUUGGAGGGCAAGUCUGGUGCCAGCAGCCGCGGUAAUUCCAGCUCCAAAAGUAUAUAUUUAAGUUGUUGCGGUUAAAAAGCUCGUAGUUGGAUUUUGGGCGCAGGCGGCCGGUCCGUCGCAAGGCGUGUACUGGACGUCCUGGCCUUCCCUCCGGUUCUCCGCCGACACUCUUGACUGAGUGUCGGCGGCGGCCGGAACGUUUACUUUGAAAAAAUAGAGUGUUCAAAGCAGGCUCUCGAGCCUGGAUAAUGGUGCAUGGAAUAAUGGAAUAGGACCUCGGUUCUAUUUUGUUGGUUUUCGGAGCGCGAGGUAAUGAUUAAGAGGGACAGACGGGGGCAUUCGUACUGUGCCGUUAGAGGUGAAAUUCUUGGAUCGGCGCAAGACGAACGACUGCGAAAGCAUUUGCCAAGAAUGUUUUCUUUAAUCAAGAGCGAAAGUCAGAGGUUCGAAGACGAUCAGAUACCGUCCUAGUUCUGACUAUAAACGAUGCCAACUAGCGAUCGGGGGGCGUUACAUUGACGACCCCUCCGGCAGCUUACGGGAAACCAAAGUCUUUGGGUUCCGGGGGAAGUAUGGUUGCAAAGCUGAAACUUAAAGGAAUUGACGGAAGGGCACCACCAGGAGUGGAGCCUGCGGCUUAAUUUGACUCAACACGGGAAAUCUCACCCGGCCCGGACACAGUGAGGAUUGACAGAUUGAGAGCUCUUUCUUGAUUCUGUGGGUGGGGUGGUGCAUGGCCGUUCUUAGUUGGUGGAGCGAUUUGUCUGGUUAAUUCCGAUAACGAACGAGACUCUGGCUUGCUAAAUAGUUACG